rnacentral:rRNA from 1 species
AUUGAACGCUGGCGGCAGGCCUAACACAUGCAAGUCGAACGGUAGCACAGAGAGCUUGCUCUCGGGUGACGAGUGGCGGACGGGUGAGUAAUGUCUGGGAAACUGCCCGAUGGAGGGGGAUAACUACUGGAAACGGUAGCUAAUACCGCAUAACGUCGCAAGACCAAAGUGGGGGACCUUCGGGCCUCACACCAUCGGAUGUGCCCAGAUGGGAUUAGCUAGUAGGUGGGGUAAUGGCUCACCUAGGCGACGAUCCCUAGCUGGUCUGAGAGGGUAACCAGCCAAACGGGAACUGAGACACGGUCCAGACUCCUACGGGAGGCAGCAGUGGGGAAUAUUGCACAAUGGGCGCAAGCCUGAUGCAGCCAUGCCGCGUGUAUGAAGAAGGCCUUCGGGUUGUAAAGUACUUUCAGCGGGGAGGAAGGCGAUGUGGUUAAUAACCGCGUCGAUUGACGUUACCCGCAGAAGAAGCACCGGCUAACUCCGUGCCAGCCGCCGCCGUAA